rnacentral:rRNA from 1 species
UACGAAGGGGGGCUAGCGUUGCUCGGAUUUAUUGGGCGUAAAGAGCGUGUAGGCGGCUUUACAGGUCCGUUGUGAAAACUCGAGGCUCAACCUCGAGACGCCGGUGGAAACCGUAAGGCUAGAGUCCGGAAGAGGAGAGUGGAAUUCCCGGUGUAGCGGUGAAAUGCGCAGAUAUCGGGAAGAACACCCGUGGCGAAGGCGGCUCUCUGGGACGGUACUGACGCUGAGACGCGAAAAGCGUGGGGGAGCGAACAGG